GGUUCUGUAGUGUAGUUGUAAUCACGUCUGUUUUACAAGCAGAAGGUCCUGGGUUCAAUCCCCAGUGGAAUCA